GAUGAAGAACGUAGCGAAAUGCGAUAAGUAAUGUGAAUUGCAGAAUCCAGUGAAUCAUCGAAUCUUUGAACGCACAUUGCGCCCGCCAGCAUUCUGGCGGGCAUGCCUGUUCGAGCGUCAUUUCAACCCUCGACCUCCCCUUGGGGAGGUCGGCGUUGGGGACCGGCAGCACACCGCCGGCACUGAAAUGGAGUGGCGGCCCGUCUGCGGCGACCUCUGCGUAGUAAUACAGCUCGCACCGGAACCCCGACGCGGCCACGCCGUAAAACACCCAACUUCUGAACGUUGACCUCGAAUCAGGUAGGACUACCCGCUGAACUUAAGCAUAUCAAUAAGCGGAGGA
rnacentral:misc_RNA from 1 species